rnacentral:tRNA from 1 species
CGGGACGUGGCGCAGUUGGUAGCGCACCCGCUUUGGGAGCGGGGGGUCGUGGGUUCAAGUCCCGCCGUCCCGACCA